rnacentral:lncRNA from 1 species
UGUAUCAUCUUUGUCAGUGCAGGUAGUGCAGCGCAGUCAGCGCGGGGUUGUCAGCGCAGUCGGUGCAGCGCAGUCAGCGCGAGGUUGUCAACACAGAUCACUUGAGUCUUCCCAGCACAGGUUAUCUAAGCCCUUAUUAUCUUUAAUGAUGUUCGACGAAUCAAAAGGAAUAAUUACUAUCUCUUUUAUCUCAGCUUAUUUCCAGCAUUAAAAUACUGUCUUUAUCAUUUUUGCAAAGAUUGACAGUUCUUGUCUAAUAAGUCGCAGGGAAUCGUAUAUGCUUAAUUGACACGGGAGAGCAGCACAUCGCUGACUUCACACCACACACCCCUAGUUGAACAAAGAGAACGCUGUUCAACUAGACCAGGGGGGGAGUAGCUGAUGAGGACUGGAAUACUCAUCAACGAUGUGCUUAAUAAUCCAAGCCUAUUUUACCUUGUUAUGAUUAUUGUUAUUAUUAUUAUAUAAACUAACCAGCGCAGGUUUAACUAAAGACUCGGGAUAAUAAAUGAAUACGAAGAGCCUGCGCAGUCGAGAGGUGCCAACGCAGUCGAAGAUGCCUAAAGAGCCCGCUUCACCAGAGACGACAUGCCAGAGCAGAGCAGCGCGGCAGAGCUGCGCAGCCAGAGCAGAGCAACGCGGACCAGAGCAGCGUAGAGCUGCGCAGCCAGAGCAGAGCAACGCGGACCAGAGCAGCGUAGAGCUGCGCAGCUAGAGCAGAACAGCGCAGACCAGAGCCGCGCAGCACAGCAGCGUAGAGCAGCGCAGCCAAAGUGCCUUUCCACGCAGCUACGUAUGAUAGUUCAACUUCGGGAAUAAGACCAUUGUACUGAGCUUUGGGCCCAAUUGACUAGAUGAGUGGGCUUUUAGAAUUAGGGUUUGCUCACAAACUAUAAAUAGCACAUCUAUUGGA